GACGAACGCUGGCGGCGUGCCUAAUACAUGCAAGUAGAACGCUGAAGAGAGGAGCUUGCUCUUCUUGGAUGAGUUGCGAACGGGUGGGUAACGCGUAGGUAACCUGCCUUGUAGUGGGGGAUAACUAUUGGAAACGAUAGCUAAUACCGCAUAACAAUAGGUGACACAUGUCAUUUAUUUGAAAGGGGCAAUUGCUCCACUACAAGAUGGACCUGCGUUGUAUUAGCUAGUAGGUGAGGUAACGGCUCACCUAGGCGACGAUACAUAGCCGACCUGAGAGGGUGAUCGGCCACACUGGGACUGAGACACGGCCCAGACUCCUACGGGAGGCAGCAGUAGGGAAUCUUCGGCAAUGGGGGCAACCCUGACCGAGCAACGCCGCGUGAGUGAAGAAGGUUUUCGGAUCGUAAAGCUCUGUUGUAAGUCAAGAACGAGUGUGAGAGUGGAAAGUUCACACUGUGACGGUAGCUUACCAGAAAGGGACGGCUAACUACGUGCCAGCAGCCGCGGUAAUACGUAGGUCCCGAGCGUUGUCCGGAUUUAUUGGGCGUAAAGCGAGCGCAGGCGGUUUGAUAAGUCUGAAGUUAAAGGCUGUGGCUCAACCAUAGUUCGCUUUGGAAACUGUCAAACUUGAGUGCAGAAGGGGGGAGUGGAAUUCCAUGUGUAGCGGUGAAAUGCGUAGAUAUAUGGAGGAACACCGGUGGCGAAAGCGGCUCUCUGGUCUGUAACUGACGCUGAGGCUCGAAAGCGUGGGGAGCGAACAGGAUUAGAUACCCUGGUAGUCCACGCCGUAAACGAUGAGUGCUAGGUGUUGGAUCCUUUCCGGGAUUCAGUGCCGCAGCUAACGCAUUAAGCACUCCGCCUGGGGAGUACGACCGCAAGGUUGAAACUCAAAGGAAUUGACGGGGGCCCGCACAAGCGGUGGAGCAUGUGGUUUAAUUCGAAGCAACGCGAAGAACCUUACCAGGUCUUGACAUCCCGAUGCUAUUUCUAGAGAUAGAAAGUUACUUCGGUACAUCGGUGACAGGUGGUGCAUGGUUGUCGUCAGCUCGUGUCGUGAGAUGUUGGGUUAAGUCCCGCAACGAGCGCAACCCCUAUUGUUAGUUGCCAUCAUUCAGUUGGGCACUCUAGCGAGACUGCCGGUAAUAAACCGGAGGAAGGUGGGGAUGACGUCAAAUCAUCAUGCCCCUUAUGACCUGGGCUACACACGUGCUACAAUGGUUGGUACAACGAGUUGCGAGUCGGUGACGGCAAGCUAAUCUCUUAAAGCCAAUCUCAGUUCGGAUUGUAGGCUGCAACUCGCCUACAUGAAGUCGGAAUCGCUAGUAAUCGCGGAUCAGCACGCCGCGGUGAAUACGUUCCCGGGCCU
rnacentral:rRNA from 1 species